UCAACCUGGAAAAAAGCCACCCUGUUAGUUACAGUGCAUUAUCAUGAAAAAAAUAUGCAUGAAAAAAAUAUGCAUUAAUUGCAAACUUGCAUAUCCAAGGAACACAGAAUUAUUUGAUGGCUCUGCUGUGCAAAUAAGGGGUAUAUUGAUCCGCAUUUAACCAAUCCCAGUGAGCAUGCGCAAGCACACACGCACGCAGGCACACACGCGCACACACUCCUCUUUUUUUCUAGGCGGUUCCAAUCUGUUCUGUGUAUUCAUCUUUUUUUUACAGUCUGUCGUAUUCAUUCAUCCAGAUCAUCCAGUCAAAAGGCUUUUUCGACUUCAUACGGCGCCAAAAGAACUGACAGGCUGACGAUGACGUCAAAGUAUCGCGAAAGCGAUUCGAGGAGUCUGCUUUCAAAUCGCUCUCGCGGAACUUUGACGUUGUACGUCUGUCAGUUGAUCUGGUUUAAUGUGAUUCGCGCUCUUUAUCCGUUGCAACUUGCUGUCUGAGGUAAAUAAGACGAGAAAGUUGAACCUUGCUCAUUAAAUGGAUAAAAGAAAACCAUGUAAGAGUUGGUUUGGAUAAAUAUGCGAAGGACAAUAAAUGUUAAGUGACCCAAAGACGGUUGGUCUUGUGGACAACGAGGAACAAAAGCGUUUCCAGCACAAAUACUCAACGUGAACGGUAAGUGAAUUUCAUUUAAUUCGUUUAUUUAACUUUUAUAGGUUUUAAGUCGCCUCAUGGUAAACGUUUAUUUGAUAAGUCAUGUUUAACAUGCUACGCAGACUGCUAUUUUUAAAUGUUGAGCUAACAUGAAUGGGAAAUAUAACAAAACGCGCCUCGCGCCUUAAACUGAACUCAGACCAGCGCUUGCACAGCAGUCUGAUAGGACCGAUCUCCGAAUUGAUACACGUGAUAAAACCACAACCUAGAGCCUUGGGUAAAAAAAGGCAGAGUACCAGUCAGUGGUUAAAGACACACAAAAUGUGGACAUCAAAACAAAUGGCUACAUUUGCUCGUGAGGAAGAUGAUAACGAAGAGGAUGAGACUCCUUCAAACCAUAAGAUAGUGGAUGAUUCACACUCAACUGCAAAGCAAUGAAAGAACACAUCUGUCACUAAAUUGAACCCAGUCACCUUGGAUUAUGCCCAAAAGUGUGAGAAUUACAAGAAACUCACCAGAACUGUGAUGGACUCCAUUUCCACCUUAGAAAAAAUGACAACAUGCUCCGUCACAGGGAAAAAAGGGACCACUGGUGAACAAAGACAGAGUCCUGACAGAGAAAGUGAAGCUAGUAAUAGGGAGCCUGCUGGAAGAGAAUCUGAGGACUGAUGCACAUAUAACAAUGGACAUGCAUAAAGACACAUCUCUAACAAUGGACAUGCAUAAAGACACAUCUCUCUCUCUCUCUCUCUCUCUCUCUCUCUCUCUCUCUCUCUCUCUCUCUCUCUCUCUCUCUCUCUCUCUCUCUCUCUCUCUCUCUCUCUCUCUCUCCCACAUACACACACACUCAGAUAUACAGUUGUUGUUGUAUGGACAG